AUUGAACGCUGGCGGCAGGCCUAACACAUGCAAGUCGAGCGGGGUUUUCGGACCUAGCGGCGGACGGGUGAGUAAUGCGUAGGAAGCUACCCGGUAGAGGGGGAUACCAGUUGGAAACGACUGUUAAUACCGCAUAAUGUCUACGGACCAAAGUGUGGGACCUUCGGGCCACAUGCUAUCGGAUGCGCCUACGUGGGAUUAGCUAGUUGGUGAGGUAAUGGCUCACCAAGGCGACGAUCCCUAGCUGGUUUGAGAGGAUGAUCAGCCACACUGGAACUGAGACACGGUCCAGACUCCUACGGGAGGCAGCAGUGGGGAAUAUUGGACAAUGGGCGCAAGCCUGAUCCAGCCAUGCCGCGUGUGUGAAGAAGGCCUUCGGGUUGUAAAGCACUUUCAGCGAGGAGGAAGGGGUGUGUGUUAAUAGUACACACCUUUGACGUUACUCGCAGAAGAAGCACCGGCUAACUCUGUGCCAGCCGCCGCCGUAAUAC
rnacentral:rRNA from 1 species